AUGAACGCUGGCGGCGUGCCUAAUACAUGCAAGUCGCGCGAACAGACGAGGAGCUUGCUCCUUUGACGUUAGCGGCGGACGGGUGAGUAACACGUAGGUACCUACCUAUAAGACUGGGAUAACUUCGGGAAACCGGAGCUAAUACCGGAUAAUAUUUCGAACCGCAUGGUUCGAUAGUGAAAGAUGGCUUUGCUAUCACUUAUAGAUGGACCUGCGCCGUAUUAGCUAGUUGGUAAGGUAACGGCUUACCAAGGCAACGAUACGUAGCCGACCUGAGAGGGUGAUCGGCCACACUGGAACUGAGACACGGUCCAGACUCCUACGGGAGGCAGCAGUAGGGAAUCUUCCGCAAUGGGCGAAAGCCUGACGGAGCAACGCCGCGUGAGUGAUGAAGGUCUUCGGAUCGUAAAACUCUGUUAUUAGGGAAGAACAAACGUGUAAGUAACUGUGCACGUCUUGACGGUACCUAAUCAGAAAGCCACGGCUAACUACGUG
rnacentral:rRNA from 1 species